rnacentral:misc_RNA from 1 species
UCAAAACAGCGGACUUCGGUCUUUGCUGCACCCUUGUCUUUUGCGCACCGAAUUGUUUCCUCGGCGGGCUUGCCUGCCGGUUGGACAUUAUCAAAACCUUUUUGUAGUUGCAAUCAGCGUCAGAAAAAUCAUAAUUAUUAC